rnacentral:rRNA from 1 species
GAUGAACGCUAGCGGCAGGCUUAACACAUGCAAGUCGAGGGGCAGCACGGGUAGCAAUACUUGGUGGCGACCGGCGCAAGGGUGCGUAACGCGUGAGCAACAUGCCCGUAUCAGGGGGAUAAUCCAGGGAAACUUGGUCUAAUACCCCAUAGCAAUUAAAGGAGGCAUCUUUUUUAAUUUAAAGCUUUGGUGGAUACGGAUUGGCUCGCGUGACAUUAGCUAGAUGGUAAGGUAACGGCUUACCAUGGCUACGAUGUCUAGGGGUUCUGAGAGGAAGAUCCCCACACUGGAACUGAGACACGGUCCAGACUCCUACGGGAGGCAGCAGUGAGGAAUAUUGGACAAUGGAUGGAAAUCUGAUCCAGCCAUGCCGCGUGCAGGAAGACGGCCCUAUGGGUUGUAAACUGCUUUUGUAUGGGAGCAAUAAGGUCUAUGCGUAGACUGAUGAGAGUACAUACGAAUAAGCAUCGGACUAACUCCGU